rnacentral:rRNA from 1 species
CCCUUAGAUGUUCUGGGCCGCACGCGCGCUACACUGACGAUGGCAACGAGUUUUUCCUUCGCCGAAAGGUGUGGGUAAUCUUUUGAAACAUCGUCGUGCUGGGGAUAGAUCAUUGCAAUUUUUGAUCUUGAACGAGGAAUUCCUAGUAAGCGCGAGUCAUCAGCUCGCGUUAAUUACGUCCCUGCCCUUUGUACACACCGCCCGUCGCUACUACCGAUUGAAUGGUUUAGUGAGGACUCCUGAUUGGCGCCGCCGCCCCGGCAACGGAGCAGCGGACUGCCGAAAAGUUGUUCAAACUUGAUCAUUUAGAGGAAGUAAAAGUCGUAACA